CCCUGUACUCAAAUUCUCUUUGUAAGUCACUUCCACACAGUUUUGGAGAAGAUACUUGGAAUAUCGUUUCAUUUUUGGUGUACUAACAGACUAUGGGAAAAGAUCUUGAAGAAAAUGGUCUCGUGUUUUGGAAAGCAAUAUGAUCCUACUUUUAUUUCUUUGCUCGGAAAGAAUUUUGGAAUAAUUUUUACAAAUCAGUUAUUUUCCAAUGCAAUUCGUUUCCUGGUUUGUGAAAUAACUGUAAAGCACUUUCCAAUUUGUAGAGAAGUUUUCUUGGAUUAAAGGUGUUGUGGUUUGAAAAACAAAAAAAAGUCCCCCCUGGAGCUGGAAGGUGGCUAAGUCCAGGGAUGAUGUUUUUGGUGUUGAGCCAAUCAGGGCUCAGUUUGCCCCUGUGGAAAUGACAUAUUCACACAAGCCAGAAAAGAAGGCUUGUUGGCAUAGCUGGAAUUGGAGAGAUGCCAUGAAAUAGACACAGAGAUUGGGGGCUCUUCUCCCCCGGUCCUGGGUGGGGGGCCAGGAACGGCACAGCAGCCGAGUUGAGCCCCCCCGAGACUGGUGGUCAAGGGGAACCCCAAAAAAUUGGGGAGGCCCCUGGACUGUGGCAUUUUAUUUCCCCUUUGCAGUGUGUGGGGGGGGAAAUGGUGAUGGAGGUAGCACGGAACAGAGAGUCGAGAUUGGCUUCUGGCCAAAAGGACUGUGAAGCAAAGAUCAGAGAAUUCCGGAGAGCAGCAAACAUGGCACGAAGUCAGACCCUGAGUUUGCAGCAGCAGAAACAGAGUAUCCAGCUGAGAGCUGAGACUUAGAGAAGCCUGCAUCUGAGAGCUGACCGAGCAGAGACAUGAGAAGAUAAUUGGAAAUGUUCUGGGGUGAGAACUGAGCCAAAAAACCCUCCGAACUUUUGACCCUGGGGAAGGAGGGGUGGACAUCCCUAGAGAAGUCUCCUGAGAUCUUGAUCCCCAGAGACAGGGACCUCCACGGAGCGCAGAAUAAAGACUUUAAGCUUUAACUCCCUGUACUCCGUGGAUGAAGAUCAUGUGUGAGGCAAGGUGUCCCCUUGCAGCCAAUGGGUGAGACCCUCGACUGGAACCAAGGGGCUGAGUGGGGGUGAGAGAGAGACCCCCUGCAUUCUGAUGAAGAGAAAGAGAGAUUUUCCAUCUACGACAAAUCAGAACUGCUGCCUUAAGGAUAAGAGAUUGUGCUGCCCUGAAAGUGAAAAGACUUCUUCUUCUUCUUUCCUUCUGGACUUUGUGGGGUGAAAGGAGGGGUGGUCUAUGUAAAUAUAUUGUUUUAUCAUAGGAGAGUUAGUUAAGAUUGUUGUAGAUAUUGUUUCAUAGUUUUUUAUUCUGUCAGCAAUAAACUUUGAUAUAGUUUCCA